AGCAGUAGCCGCGGUAAUACGUAGGUGGCAAGCGUUAUCCGGAAUUAUUGGGCGUAAAGCGCGCGUAGGCGGUUUCUUAAGUCUGAUGUGAAAGCCCACGGCUCAACCGUGGAGGGUCAUUGGAAACUGGGAAACUUGAGUGCAGAAGAGGAAAGUGGAAUUCCAUGUGUAGCGGUGAAAUGCGCAGAGAUAUGGAGGAACACCAGUGGCGAAGGCGACUUUCUGGUCUGUAACUGACGCUGAUGUGCGAAAGCGUGGGGAUCAAACAGGAUUAGAUACCCGCGUAGUCCCUGUCUCUUAUAC
rnacentral:rRNA from 1 species